AGGGUUAUAGCUCAGUGGUACAGCGUGUGUUUAGCACACACGAGGUCCUGGGUUCAAUCCCCAAAACCUCCA
rnacentral:tRNA from 1 species